ACGGGGCCCGCGACAAGCGGAGGAGCAUGUGGUUUAAUUCGAUGAUACGCGAGGAACCUUACCUGGGCUCGAACGUAAGAUGACUGUAGGUGAAAGCUUACAUCUCUUCGGAGCAUUUUACGAGGUGCUGCAUGGUUGUCGUCAGCUCGUGCCGUGAGGUGUCGGGUUAAGUCCCACAACGAGCGCAACCCCUACCUUUAGUUGCCAUCAGGUUAAGCUGGGGACUCUAAAGGAACUGCCUACGCAAGUAGUGAGGAAGGCGGGGAUGACGUCAAAUCAGCACGGCCCUUACGUCCAGGGCUACACACGUGCUACAAUGGCCGAUACAGAGGGCAGCUACCUGGUGACAGGAUGCAAAUCUCCAAAGUCGGUCUCAGUUCGGAUCGGAGUCUGCAACCCGACUCCGUGAAGUUGGAUUCGCUAGUAAUCGCGCAUCAGCCAUGGCGCGGUGAAUACGUUCCCGGGCCUU
rnacentral:rRNA from 1 species